rnacentral:rRNA from 1 species
AGAGUUUGAUCGUGGCUCAGAUUGAACGCUGGCGGCAGGCCUAACACAUGCAAGUCGAGCGGUAACACAGGGAGCUUGCUCCUGGGUGACGAGCGGCGGACGGGUGAGUAAUGUCUGGGAAACUGCCUGAUGGAGGGGGAUAACUACUGGAAACGGUAGCUAAUACCGCAUAACGUCGCAAGACCAAAGAGGGGGACCUUCGGGCCUCUUGCCAUCAGAUGUGCCCAGAUGGGAUUAGCUAGUAGGUGGGGUAACGGCUCACCUAGGCGACGAUCCCUAGCUGGUCUGAGAGGAUGACCAGCCACACUGGAACUGAGACACGGUCCAGACUCCUACGGGAGGCAGCAGUGGGGAAUAUUGCACAAUGGGCGCAAGCCUGAUCCAGCAAUGCCGCGUGUGUGAAGAAGGCCUUCGGGUUGUAAAGCACUUUUAUCAGGAGCGAAAUACUAUCGGUUAAUAACCGGUGGGGCUGACGGUACCUGAGGAAUAAGCACCGGCUAACUUCGUGCCAGCAGCCGCGGUAAUACGAAGGGUGCAAGCGUUAAUCGGAAUUACUGGGCGUAAAGGGUGCGUAGGCGGUUAGUUAAGUCUGUUGUGAAAUCCCCGGGCUCAACCUGGGAAUGGCAAUGGAUACUGGCUAGCUAGAGUGUGUCAGAGGAUGGUGGAAUUCCCGGUGUAGCGGUGAAAUGCGUAGAGAUCGGGAGGAACAUCAGUGGCGAAGGCGGCCAUCUGGGACAACACUGACGCUGAAGCACGAAAGCGUGGGGAGCAAACAGGAUUAGAUACCCUGGUAGUCCACGCCCUAAACGAUGCGAACUGGAUGUUGGUCUCAACUCGGAGAUCAGUGUCGAAGCUAACGCGUUAAGUUCGCCGCCUGGGGAGUACGGUCGCAAGACUGAAACUCAAAGGAAUUGACGGGGGCCCGCACAAGCGGUGGAGUAUGUGGUUUAAUUCGAUGCAACGCGAAGAACCUUACCUGGCCUUGACAUGUCCGGAAUCCAGCAGAGAUGCAGGAGUGCCUUCGGGAAUCGGAACACAGGUGCUGCAUGGCUGUCGUCAGCUCGUGUCGUGAGAUGUUGGGUUAAGUCCCGCAACGAGCGCAACCCUUGUCCUUAGUUGCCAGCACGUAAUGGUGGGAACUCUAAGGAGACUGCCGGUGACAAACCGGAGGAAGGUGGGGAUGACGUCAAGUCCUCAUGGCCCUUAUGCCCAGGGCUACACACGUGCUACAAUGGCCGGCACAAAGGGCUGCAAACCCGCGAGGGGGAGCCAAUCCCAAAAAACCGGUCCCAGUUCGGAUUGGAGUCUGCAAUUCGACUCCAUGAAGCCGGAAUCGCUAGUAAUCGUGGAUCAGCACGCCACGGUGAAUACGUUCCCGGGCCUUGUACACACCGCCCGUCACACCACGAAAGUCGGCUGCACCAGAAGUCGUUCGAGCCAACCCGCAAGGGAGGCAGGCGCCGAAGGUGUGGUCGGUAAUUGGGGUGAAGUCGUAACAAGGUAACCA